rnacentral:lncRNA from 1 species
ACUGUUCAGCUUUAAACAGAUUGAAAUGAUCCACCAGGGAAGCGAGAACAAACCCCAGGGCUGUGUGCAGGCAGCAUUCAGAGCUGGCCCUGAGCUGCUGUGGAAGGGCGAGCUGCGCCGGCCAACAUGUCCGAGCUGAAGGGCUGACAACUGGGAAAACAGAGCCAUGGAGAAGGCCGGCAUUCCAGGGGCCAGCGGUGAUUUCCUAUCAGACGGUCCUCAGCAUGGAAUUAUUGAUAGCUGUGAUGCCGAAAGGGAGCCAGUUGGCUAAUGCCUGGAAGGGCUGAACCCCCGCUCACGGAUGAUCUGCUGCAAGAUAUCUUAACUAGGCUGAAGCCCUGACUCCGCAAGGAACUCAGACUGCCUUAGGAGGAGAGAAAACUUCAUGAGCCCGAGGCAGAGCUAUGGAAACAUAUGCAUACCCCAGCCCAGAGGUUGGACUAGAUGGCCUGGCUGUCGGAACACAAGGCAUGAGACUUUGAGGGAAUCCGGAGUGGGACUGUGAGGGGCCACACAAGCAAAACACUUUCAAAUCAGGAGGAGCUGAUAGCAAAUCACCACUGGCCCCUGGGAUACUGGCGUUCCCCACUUUCAAACACUAAAGGAGACAAAGACAUUUGCUCUUGGUUAGAAGGCCAGGAGUACAGAUUCCCAGGGAUCUGCCACGCCUCCGGAAAUCUCAGGUUCGGAAACAGUGGUGAACACUGGAGAACUCUCACCAAGCGUCUACUAUUUGCAAAGGACCCUACUAGGCAAGGAGAGAAAGGAAGGAUAUGGAUGCCAAGCAGAAGUUUAUGAUGGGGAUAGGGAUACACCAUAGAUGAGGGCAAUAGAGUAUGGUGAAGCCACAGACAACAAGAGAAUGUUCUAGAUGUGCCCCAGAAAGUCAGGGCUGGCACUGGUUUGGAAUGACUAGAGAGGAACACAUGAGCAAAAUAGGGCCUUACAGGGUGGACAUUUUGAGUACAGUAAUUGGAAAUGUGUGAGAGAGAUCGUUGCAUGAAGGAGAUUCUAUGCUGGGAGCCAUGGCGGGGGGUGGUCUUUGAGCUUUGCAGGUAACGGUAGAAGGAACGCACACAUCUGAUGGCUCGGAGGGGUGUGCAGUUCACCUAACUAGACGCUUCCUUUCAGGAAACGGGGACUAAGAAGGCAGUGGUCAGGAGCCUAAGACAGCAAGAAGAGCCAUCACUGUGGGAGGUGUUCAUAAAGUCUAACUUUUGUAUGGCUGAGGCUGGUUGGCAGAGGUUCUUUGUUAGCGGUAUGCUCUGUAGCACGCUAGUCGAGUCCUCUAUCCUUCGCGUCCUCCUUCCUCGUUCGCAGUCCUGUUUGCCAACUGUCUGAACCAGGGCUGCACAAAUUUCUGCGUGUGGACUUUCCCCACAAACAGAGCCAAAGUAAAACAAAAGAAGAUACGUUUUUCCAUUUGUGACAGCUGCCCUCCGUGGCUCCCUCAGGGAUAACAGAACAGUACUUUCUGGAAGCAGAUUCAUGAGGCAGAUCAGAGGAGUUCAGCUGUUGCUGUCUGUAAAAGAAUUUAUAAUUUGUACCUUGCUGCACCCAACUUGCUUUUGGGCAUCCUCACUUGGGUGCUUGAAGUUGGUAUGCCCUCUGUCCAGACAAGCAUCUUCUUGGGCUAUUAAUUAUGUAAUUAAAGGUCUGAACCUUCUCAUUUAAGAUGAUA